UACCAGCACCCCGAGUGGUCGGGACGAUUAUUGGGCCUAAAGCAUCCGUAGCCGGUUCUGCAAGUCUUCCGUUAAAUCCACCUGCUCAACAGAUGGGCUGCGGGGGAUACUACAGGGCUAGGAGGCGGGAGAGGCAAGCGGUACUCAGUGGGUAGGGGUAAAAUCCUCUGAUCCACUGAAGACCACCAGUGGCGAAGGCGGCUUGCCAGAACGCGCUCGACGGUGAGGGAUGAAAGCUGGGGGAGCAAACCGGAUUAGAAACCCCAGUAGUCC
rnacentral:rRNA from 1 species